GCUUUGCUGUAGGGUAGAAGGAAAGAGGCGCUACCCUAUCAGCUGCCCCCUCUCCCAUCCUUUCCUUCUGCAGGAGC
rnacentral:pre_miRNA from 1 species